rnacentral:rRNA from 1 species
GCACAAGCGGUGGAGCAUGUGGUUCAAUUCGACGCAACGCGAAGAACCUUACCCAGGCUCGAACGGCAACUGACAUCCGGCGAAAGCCGGCUCCCGCAAGGGCAGUUGUCGAGGUGCUGCAUGGCUGUCGUCAGCUCGUGUCGUGAGAUGUUGGGUUAAGUCCCGCAACGAGCGCAACCCUUGUCCGCUGUUGCCAUCAGGUUAUGCUGGGCACUCUGCGGAGGCUGCCGGUGAUAAACCGGAGGAAGGUGGGGAUGACGUCAAGUCAGCAUGGCCUUUAUGUCUGGGGCUACACACGUGCUACAGUGGCAGAUACAAACCGUCGCGAUGCCGCGAGGUGGAGCUAAUCGGAGAAAAUCUGUCUCAGUUCGGAUUGCAGGCUGCAACUCGCCUGCAUGAAGUUGGAAUCGCUAGUAAUCGCGGAUCAGCACGCCGCGGUGAAUACGUUCCCGGGC